rnacentral:tRNA from 1 species
GCCUGGGUGGCUCAGUCAGUUAAGUGUCUGACUUCGACUCAGGUCAUGAUCUCACGGUUUGUGGGUUCGAGCCCCACAUUAGGCU